ACCUGGUUGAUCCUGCCAGUAGUCAUA
rnacentral:rRNA from 7 species